GCGGCAAAAGCUCAAAUUUGAAAUCUGGUACCUUCGGUGCCCGAGUUGUAAUUUGGAGAGGGCAACUUUGGGGCCGUUCCUUGUCUAUGUUCCUUGGAACAGGACGUCAUAGAGGGUGAGAAUCCCGUGUGGCGAGGAGUGCGGUUCUUUGUAAAGUGCCUUCGAAGAGUCGAGUUGUUUGGGAA
rnacentral:rRNA from 1 species